AAGAGCUUCGUCUCCGUUUUUCCAUGUUCGAAAUACCCAAAAAAAAAAUUAAAAAAAAAACCCCAAAAAUCCAGGCUUGCCGAGAGACUGAAACAGAAGUUGCUGAAGUGGAAGACUAUGCUCAAGUUGAAGAAGAUGGGCAAUUGACGGCUCAGCCACUCGGUGACAACCCGGAUUCUGUCGAACAACGAGCUGCUUCCGACCAAAUUGACGGGAGAACGAACCCCCAAUGUUUUACAAAGAGGAUUUGAAUUUGCUCAAGCUGUGGAGGGCUGUCAUCAAAUUGGGAGGGUAUGAACAGGUGACCUCAUGCAAAUUGUGGAGGCAGAGGCAGGUUAGAGAAUCGUUUAAUCCCCGAAAGACCUGUACUACAGUGUCUUGGACAUUUCGUAUCUUUUAUGGGAAGGUUUGGCUCUAAUUGCCGAUUUCCGUUGAUUAUGGUAACACAGACAUACUUUGCAGACUAUGGCCUCAUUCCCCAUCUCUUAACAUUUAUUUUAUUUAUUUGCUAUUGUGGCAUAUGGUUCUCCUGUAAUCUGUUUCCAUCGAUUUACGCAGGCAUUGUUCGAGUAUGAAAAGCAUAAAAUGCAUGGUGCUGUACCCCCUCAGUUUGUUCCUUCCCUCAUCGAGCCUAUCACGGUUGUUAGUCCGUUAAGAUUAUAAUGCUUUCCGAUAUGCUUUGCAUAGCAUAUUUGUUUCGUUAUUACUUGUCAACAUGAAUGCUGCUCG